CAGGAACCAGUGUUGGAGGCCUGUAGUUCACAUCUUGUGGGUACCGUUUUCAAUAAAUUAAAAAAGAAAAUCAUCCCCCCAGUAGGUAUCUAAAAUAAUAGCUUUUAAAGACAGUAUUACAGUCAUAUAACUUGUUGGGGAAAGCACACCAUGGCUCACAGUCUGAAUUAAACAUGUGUCAUUGUGGCUGAGGAAGAAACCUUCCACCUUCCAGAAACCUGAUAUUUUGGACCAAAUCCCUCUCUGAACAGGUUGUAUGCUGCCCUUUUCAAAAUCAAGCUAUCAGAAGAUGCCCUUCAGCAGAAGUGUUAAGAGGACUUGGUGAGCUUAACAUGUUUCGCCUGCUUAAUUUAAUUUGGAAAAAUUCAACCAGAAAAUGAAGUUAUUAACAGGUUGGUACAUUCAGAGAUAAGAUGAUGUCACAGGAAAGCAGUCAAGUGGGUUGCUUGUCAAAAUAUAAAAUAUGUAUCUGUCAGAAUCAAAUGAUAGAUAAGCUGUGGCUGGGUGUAGGAUGCAGUGAAAAUAGUGUGCUAAAAAUUGAAGCUGAAUCCCACCAGUCUGGAGCACAAGCUUUUAGUGUAACUAUUGUGGCGAUCAGAAAUAUAACAAUUCUGGGGACACGAACUGCGCUGCUUGAACACGGUACACGUAAUUUCUUGGCACCGAUAGCCAGAGGCAUGUACAUCAGUGCUAGACCUCAAACAAACAGGAGACACCUUGAAAAUGCGGCUAUUUCAACCCAUGACUUUGAAACUGGGACAACCCAUUAGCUCGGGUAUGCCAAAUGAGGUUUAAUAAAUCUUUCCGUGGGUAACUCUGGGAUCUUUAAGGCCUUAAAAUGUGAAAAUAGAGUCUGCCUGGCCAACGUGAUGAGCUUUUCUGUACUAGGGAGGUUCAGAUCAAAGAGAGAAGUCUCCAGUGUAUUCUCCAGGAACACGUACGUGUCAUGUCAGUCACAGGCCUCUUCCUGCCUUCUGGCUUGCCAUAUAAAAGAGCUGGCACCAGGAGUUUAAAGUUAAUAAACUCGGGAAUUUUAAAUGGCAAUUUGGAGUCUCGUAUGAACAAAACAGAAUAGGCUACUUAGCAAGGAAUGCAGUCAAACUCCCAAACACUGUGAUGGCAAAAUGAAAGAAAUACCAUUAUAAUAAAUGUCGGUAUUGCGUUAUCAUCGAAUUUGGGAAAAUGAUCCCACUUAUGUGGAACUGCAUUCACUGCAAGUUGCAAAAUUGAGCUCUAAGACUGUAAACUCUUGGGGAAAGCUAUGAAAUAUCUCUGUCUGCUCAGGAUCUUCCAUGAUGCAGAGUCUAAUUGUGACUAGGAACUCUCAGGACUAACAGAAUACAAAUAAUAGUAGUCCUAAAUAAAAUGCUGCUCUUAUAUUUAAAGGUCAGAAGGGACUGCUCUGACCUCUUGAUCUAUAGGCCAUAGGGCUUUGUUCAGUAAAACCACCAUGAUAUUUCUAAUUUAUGCUUCAGCUUAAAUAGUUCCUAAAGCCUCAGCUCAAGAAAUGCUCCUCCUUAGGAAAGAAUGAGUUUUAAUAUGUUGUUCUGAUGCUAUUUUUUUCAGUAUUUAGAAUAUUUUUCAUUUAAAUUUCUUUAGCCUUAGCUUGUAACCUCUGGCUUUUGAUUCUUCUUCUUUAUGCUUGAAUAAGCGUAUAUCAAAACCCUUCUCUUUUGUAAACGAAACAAGUGGAGUUUAAAUCUGUAAGAUGGGUCCUGAAAAAUGUCAGUAUUCUUUUUUUUUCUCUAAGUCAGUUCCAGGGGUUUCGCCAUAAUUUCUCUUUGUGAAUGCUAGAACUGAAGGUUGGGGUUUUUUUUCUUGUUUUGUUUUUUUUUUUUCAACGACUUCCCCAAUGUUGUUCACAGAAGACACAACAACUUUCUGCUGCUAUAUGUGAGCCUCCAUUUUAUGUACUCAAGGAUCACAUUCACCCUUUGGGACUUCGUGCUGUUGGGAUUAUAUGUGCUAUGCUUCUCUGUUUCAUGCUCAUUUUUUAUUCAGCGAUAACUGUAAUGGUGAUACAGAAUUAUCUAUAUUGCUGCCAUACCUAAGUUUAUGACAUCAUAGAUGCGUAUCAACUUUUAAAGAUGAACAUAUCAUCCUUUUUUUUUGGUUAAAAUCUGAAAAUAAAUCUCAAAUCUCCCAGCAUGAGGAACUCAGUUUUAGACUUGUGUAAUGAAAAUGCCCUUGUAAUUGAAAGAAAAAAGACAAAGGAAAUUUGGAAGACUAUUAGUCUACAUGUGGUAUACUUUUUUUUUUUCCUAAAUUGAAAAUAAAAAAAAUCCAAUGACACAUUUG